GAACCGUCCAAACGUUUAUUUCGGAAUCACUGGGCUUAAAGGGUGCGUAGGCGGCCCGGCAAGUUGGGUGUGAAAUCCCUCGGCUCAACCGAGGAACUGCGCCCAAAACUGCCGGGCUCGAGGGAGGCAGAGGUGAGCGGAACUUAGGGUGGAGCGGUGAAAUGCGUUGAUAUCCUAAGGAACACCAGUGGCGAAAGCGGCUCACUGGGUCUCUUCUGACGCUGAGGCACGAAAGCUGGGGGAGCGAACGGGAUUAGAUACCCCGGGUAGUCCUAGCUGUAAACGAUGAGCACUGGGCCGGAGGGUCCUCCCAUAGCCCUUCCCGGCCGUAGCGAAAGUGUUAAGUGCUCCGCCUGGGGAGUAUGGUCGCAAGGCUG
rnacentral:rRNA from 1 species